rnacentral:rRNA from 1 species
AGUGAACGCUGGCGGUAGGCCUAACACAUGCAAGUCGAACGGCAGCACAGUAAGAGCUUGCUCUUACGGGUGGCGAGUGGCGGACGGGUGAGGAAUACAUCGGAAUCUACUUUUUCGUGGGGGAUAACGUAGGGAAACUUACGCUAAUACCGCAUACGAUCUACGGGUGAAAGCAGGGGAGCUUCGGACCUUGCGCGAUUGAAUGAGCCGAUGUCGGAUUAGCUAGUUGGCGGGGUAAAGGCCCACCAAGGCAACGAUCCGUAGCUGGUCUGAGAGGAUGAUCAGCCACACUGGAACUGAGACACGGUCCAGACUCCUACGGGAGGCAGCAGUGGGGAAUAUUGCACAAUGGGCGAAAGCCUGAUCCAGCCAUACCGCGUGGGUGAAGAAGGCCUUCGGGUUGUAAAGCCCUUUUGUUGGGAAAGAAAAGCAGCAGGUUAAUACCCCGCUGUUCUGACGGUACCCAAAGAAUAAGCACCGGCUAACUUCGUG